rnacentral:lncRNA from 1 species
UGUUUAGAAAAGAGAGAAUGAAAACUUCAGUUCUACUUCUUUCUACACGUAAAGUGAGUAUUCAGUAUGAACGUAUACCUUGUAUAUGAAGGCUUCUUAUUUCCUCUUAUAUUUUUGUUUUUGAGCUUCUGUAGAGUCAAGUCCAAAGGAUUUUUACUUAUUUGUUCAACUAGCUUAUGAUCUAUCAGAUGCUUUCUACAUUGGAGCUUCUGGUCUUCCAUUAAAUGUGAUUGCAACCAAUGUUUCACAAUGCAAUUGCAUUGCUUUACAUGAUAUUCUUUUUUUUUAUAAGCAC